UCACGGCGACAGCCCGCCGGCCGCCACCCACUCACUCUCCCUGUUCUCUCCACGCCCAGUCCUCUCCCGGCUUCCGCAUCCAUUCUACAAACCCUAGCCGCCGCCGUCGAUUUUCUAUAGAUCCUGGUUGAUUCCGGCCACGUCCUCCGCCGCCAGCUACAGGCAUGAGCUCGUCUCGCCCUCCUCUGUAUCGCUGGCCCAUGGGAAGAGCACGAGAGGGUGUGGCCUGGAGUCUUCUUUCUGGCGGCAGCGGCACCUCGCGUGAGACCACGACUAGGUGGCGUGGCGGCUCGUGCUGCUCCCCGGCGACCUCCACCGAUGUGUCCCCGACUCCAUGGCGACUGGCAGCAGCGACGCUCAUCCCAGGAUGAUGAGCAAGUGCAAUGCAAACUACGGAUUGCAAGGAUUCAUGGAAUUUUUGGCCCCUGCGAAAAGCAUGAUUCUUGUGUUUAUGUUUGGAUGAUGUGCUACCAAAUAUUGGGGUGGUUAAAUAUCUCGCAGCCUCCAUCAACGACCAAAUUCAUGAUAUUGGUGUGUUUGUUCAUUGGACCGGUGGCCUCCAAAAGCAUGUGAAUUUUUCACUAACAUUAUCUACGUAUUCAAAUUAAACUUAUCCAUGUUCCUACCGCCUUAAAGGUUAUCCACAAUUUUCAUAUCUGGCUUUAUUUUUUUACUUACGAAGAUCUUCCCAACUUCUACUUUAAAUUUCAGGGGCAUGAGCAUCUAAGUUAUAGCUUUUGAAUCAGUCAUUAUGAAGUCAGAAGGUAGCCCCCUAACGCCUAUUGUGAUCCAGUUAACUUUUUAUGGUUGCACUAUAUAGUUAUAAGGUUACACUUUCUUAUCUGUCCAGGUAAUACUUAAAACUCACUUUCAUUUUUUUAAAGUAGCUUUUCUGUUCUAUGCAUUUUUUCCUGGUUACUCAUGCAACAGCUACAAAAAGAUUAAAUAAGUGCUACCACAACAUAACAUCAAUUAGUCUGAGAGUGCUUGAGCUAAUGACAACACAUAGUGUAAAAACUCUGAUUUACUCCAGCACUUGUGCAGCAUAUGGCAAACCUGACACAAUUCCUAUCACAGAAGCAACAAGUCAGGUUGACACCUUGCUGCCUGAACUUUUCGUUUUUUUUUUUAAUUUUUACUGAGAGUUAAUGAUCUAAUAAUAAAUAACCAGCAUUGCCAUGGAGAAUCCUAUCAAUCCAUAUGGGAAGGCGGAAAAGAUCGAAGCCAGUGUAUUACAUAUGUAUUGGGUCAUGUUAUUUAGCUUUUAAAUAGUAGCUUAGAUGAGAUUUUAAGUAACGAGAUUAAAAUUUGGUUGACUAGGAGGAAACAUAUGGAACAUUUAGUUGCCAGUAGUGGAGUAGAGACCUUCAGCUGCUUUCUUGGCUUCAGAGAAAGAUUUUGUUAGAUUAAAUAUGCAUGUUUCUUUAUCUUUGUUACCAUUGCAAUCUUUCUCAGGAUAACAUUUAUACUCUACGAACAUCCCACUCGACCUGAUCCAUUUAUUACAGAUGCUACAGGUCUGGAGUUCGUUGGUUAUGAAAAUUUCUAUUUUGGUUGUACAAGAUUCUGUUCGGUGGCUGCUAGGUAUACUUAGAUCUGCCUCAUGGCGAUGAAUUGCCCUAUCUACCAACUUGAUGUUGUAUGGGCAUCACAUGGCCAGAUCUGUUGAUGCCAGCGACCUGUCCACCAAGGCGUCAAGUAUAGAUGUGCGGAAAAGGACGAAGAGUGCGUCCUUGAGCGGAAGUGCAGUGAUGCCUGGUUCUGGGAGCCUACGUAUGGAGAUUGCUUAAAUUGGAUUUGCUCAGCUUCCACAAGUGGCUUCGUAUCUUUAUUGGAGGUGGUCAUUGGUAUGGACUUUGCUGCUUCUGAAUUUUCAGUGAGGACAUGGCAUAUAUCUUUGAGCCCCAAAAGUUUCUUAUAUUUUCCUGAGUUAUGAGAUGAGAACCUUUUAAUGAUGUCGGCGAGCUUUAUGUUUGUUUAACCGGACAAUGUUUACUUUUCUUAUUCGUACAGAUAUAACCUGGAACCUAUGCAUAUGGUCUGGUCAGGAUAUUAUUGAAACAUGCAUGUUUUCAGGUAUUUUCUUAAAUGAUCAGAACGGAGAUAUACAUGCUAUCUAAGCAGUGAUUUAUUGUAACAUUUGAAACUUGUAGUUUCUUCAUGUUCUUUGAUAUAUUUUUUCAUCAAAUUUGUGAAUUUAAAAGAACAUGAGUCUAAGACCAGUCUCAUCAUUCUUAAUCUACACAGAAGACUGGCAUGCCCUCUACAUGUAGCUCUAUAUUAACCUUUUGCCACUUCCCAAAACUGAUCCAAUGAUCUAUAAUUUAAUUUGAACGCAUUUCCAUAUUCCUGCCUAAAUAGUUUAUUACAUGUUGAAAAUUUCUAUAUCUUCCCGGCUAAAUUGUUUUUCCAAAUGUUUACUCAUUACAAUUUUGUCCAUACAAGUUUCUCCAUGAUAGAAAAAUUGUGGAAAUGUAAUCUGGAUCUUUUUGGUAAAGAUUAGUUGGCAUGUAGCUUCUCAACAACAAUUUAGAUUUUGUGUUUUAAUUAUAUACUUGCAAGACACUUCCAGAAAGAAUAGGCUUCACAAUUAAUAGCUUGCCAUAUGGCUUCUGCUCUCUAUCUAUAAAUGGCGAUAUAUAUUAAUAUUGUCUUCACAUGUUCAAUAGGUCAUGUGCUGAUAACAUUAUUAUUUAAUGUAUGAGGAGUUUUAUUAUGUUAGAUUUUAUCUAUUAUCUUAUUGGUUCACUUGCAUUACCUGCUAGCUGCAUUGUUGUACUGCACUGUCCUUGAAAAAACAUUGAUGAUAAUGCUGAGGUUAACCUUGAGUUUGGUCACACAUACAUAAUUUUUUUUCUUAGAUGUUAAUUAUAUGACUAUAUGGCCUUCAUCUCAGGCCUAUUGUUCUAUUCUUAUUUCUUAGUGGUAUUUCAUUUUUUAUUCCACUAGUCAUUACAAAUUAUAAGAUAUGAGAUGUAUGCCAAAAAUGCAUGCUAAAAAUAUAUUCUAGAAUGAUAUAUCCAACUUUGAACAUCUAUAAGACAACCGACAACUCCUUUGAAAACCCAAGAUAACUGACAAAUCCUUUCGUAACACUUAGUCUCUUAUUCACAGCUUAUUUGAUUUAUCUUCUUUGAAAAUGCAUAUUGGUAGCCAUUUGCCUGGAGUUUGGUGGGCAAGUGCGCUGCAAGUUUUGUACCCAUUUUUUCUGGAGGAACAUAGCCAUCAAGUAAUAAAGACAUUCAAAAAAGCAGGGAAUUACUGUGACUUCAAAAACCAUCCACUUCUCAGUUUUGGAAGAUCAGUUUAGAUAUGACAAGCUAAAGGAUCAUAAAGAGUUUCUAGACAUGGCAUGGAUUGCCACUACUGCUCACAAAUAACUGUCAUUUGUUAUAUCGUUUUAUGAUGACUGAUACCUUCUUCUAUGUAAUUAAGCUACUGUGUCCUUUGGUCAAGUCCUUGCCGUACUCUGCUCCCUGAUCUAUUAUUUAGCUUUGUCUGCGUGAUUAUCCAAUUAUCUUGACCAUCUACCGAUGAUUGUAUAUUAAAAGAACGGAAAGAAUCAUACUUAAAAGAACUUAAAAGAAGCAUACUGCGCGGCAAGCCGCGCUUUCCUACCUAGUACAAUAAAAAAGUGCACAUAGGAGGAUCACAAGUUUUCUUGCAAGCUAGGUU